GACGAACGCUGGCGGCGUGCUUAACACAUGCAAGUCGAACGGAAAUGCCCUGCUUUUGUGUGGUUCUCCAGUGGCGAACGGGUGUGUAACACGUGAGUGACCUGCCCUUGACUUUGGGAUAACUUCAGGAAACUGGGGCUAAUAGCAGAUAGGAGCUCCUGCUGCAUGGUGGUGGUUGGAAAGUUUCGGCGGUUUGGGAUGGACUCGCGGCUUAUCAGCUUGUUGGUGGGGUAGUGGCUUACCAAGGCUUUGAGGGGUAGCCGGCCUGAGAGGGUGACCGGGCACAUUGGGACUGAGAUACGGACCAGAAUCCAACGUGAGGCAGCAGUGGGGAAUAUUGUACAGUGGGCGGAAGCCUGAUGCAGCAACGUCGCGUGCGGGAUGACGGCCUUUGGGUUGUAAACCGCUUUCGCAUGUGAUGAAGCGUGAGUAACGGUAAUGGGUAAAGAAGCACCGGCUAACUACGUG
rnacentral:rRNA from 1 species